AAAAGAAUCAAUCACCAUCAAUGAUUAGAGAUCAAAUCACGCCGCCGACCUCUCCUCGGUUCCUAUGGUGAUCCUGAAGCACGCCGCCGCUGCCAAUAGCGGGAUCUUCCUGGCCCAACGACGAAGCUCACGCCGCCGCCAUUGCGGGAUCUUCCUGGGACGACGACGAAGCCCACGCCGCCGCCAUCGGGGGAUCUUCGUGGUACGACGCCGCCGCCGCUGCGCCAUCGCGAAUACUCCUCGCAGCUUCGUCAUUGUUGGGUCUGGUCGCACAGGUCAUCGACACCGCUGGAUUUCCUCUCGCCCGAUGACGCAGUGGCUAACUCGUCGUGCGGGCCAAGUCAGCCGUUCGAGCGAGGCCGGUAGCGAUGAGGGUGUGGGGCAUCAAGAGGAGCGUCCGCACCAUACCCGGGUUCAAGGUGGCCCUCGGCAUGGAAGCCUACAGGGUCGUGCAACGAUGGAUCAGCUGCUGAACAUGACACCACGACCCUCACCGAGUACAUCUGAUAUAUGUAAAGGAAGCGAGGAAAAUGAUUUUAUGUCUCUCCUAAGCACGACGUCAUGGUCGUCAUAUGCGUACUAAUCAAGGGGCUUCUGGGGUUGAAGCAAUUCAUCUCCAUGUAGCCGGAGCAACGCCGCAUGCAAAUGCGAGCCCAUACUUAAUCGGCAUCACACUCUUGGCCAAGGGAUUGGGGUAUGCAACCGGUUAAAUUCCAGUGACUUGACAUACCGACACAUGAUGUUUCAUCAACUUUGUAAUAUGUUGGUGAUGUUCAACCCUCAACUUUGUUGUCAGAUUCUGAUGAAUGGAGUGGUCGCUAGGAAUGUUCAUUGGAUAAUCUUGAUUCAACAAAGCACAACCUCAAGCCAUGCAGAGAUGAUUCAAGGCAUGCAUUGAUGUCCAAGUUUUCAUGCAUUUGAUAUAGAUCAGUUUUAGCAUGAUCCCUCUUACCUCAGGGAGAGGUACCCAGAGUCCCAGACACACGUGUCUAUACUAUAUUCACUACUCCUGCCUUGCCUUCAAAGGUGCAGAGAAUUUCACUUAUGAGAGGUUAACUGAUCCCUUUUAUGUUAAUCCCCGAUUAAAUCCCCUAAUUAACCUUGAUGUGCUGUUAUUUUUUCUUCUUCCUUAAUCUUUUUCCGCUCUUGCAGAAGUUACAUGCUGACAUUUUGCUUCGGCAUGCUUCGAUCCUCGCACUGUCUUAGGUUUUUCGUGAUUCCUCCAUGGAUCCAUUCCUAACCCUCCUCCACUAUUUUGCCACUUCAACAGGAAGUUAUCCUAUAGGAUGUUCGUUACCAGAAGAGUGAAUGUUUGUAUUAUAUUAUAGGCCAUCCCAUCUAUGCAUGCCUAUUGUUUUGGUCUUUCUGAACUAUUGUCAAAUUAUGCUAUCCGAUUUCCUAUAUCACGUUGCAGCCUUGGGUUCGCCACAAAACCUUGCAACCAGAUAUUCUGAGUAACAUGAAGAGUCUGUUCUUCUACUGUUUCAUUCCUCCAAGUGUAUUAUUAGUUCAAUUUCUUUUUGGACAGCCAAUCACAAUCCACGUAAGUGAAAAAAAAUAUGUGUUUCAGUUAUUGUAAGUCUAAAGUGCGAGCUGCAUGUUGUCAUGAUAAUCAUAUAGUAUUAAUUAGAGUAGCUUCGUGGAUCAUGCGAUUGAUGUUACAUACAUAGCUCAUUAUAACUUUUUUAUUAUAAUUUAUGUCUGUUUCAGCAAGCAAAAUAAGCUCUAAUUGUCUAUCUUCGUAAUAAGAAAGAUAGAAAUAUCUGAGUCGGCAAAAUCUAAGAUCCACACAUCGCUGCCGCAUCGGAGCCUCAUGAUCCUUCCUCUAUCUCUACAUCUCUCGGAGCCCCUUGAUCCCUGCCGUUGUGGGCUAUGAUUGCUCAAGCCCUACGCCCAGGCAUCAACUCGACGAGUUGCACGUUUCGCCACUGCUAUCCUCCAGCAUCAAUUGUGCCAGAGGUGGGGGCUCUCCUUCCUUUGAACCUAUGACUGUUUUUUAAUUUUUGAGUUAGCUUCAUUUGACACUCUGAUUUGUGUGUGGUAGAGUUUUUCUUAGUACGAUGCUCUAUUCCAUCCAGGCGUCUACAAUGACGUCUGUGGCAACAAGUCUGUCUAGUCUCUCUCCCCGAAACUCCUCUAACUCAACUACCGCUAACACACAUGUGUCUAGAUGUGAUGGAUUAUUGUUGUUUCUCGAAUCCAGUUGGUUUUUUAUUGAAAGCGCUAGAUGGUCAAUAUUCUUCUUCGUUUUGUUUCUUUAGUGAUCUUGAAAGAAGAAAGAGAUGAAGCUACCACUUAAUGUGCCCAACUUCAAUCGUGCAUCUCGGUGUCUCCUCUCCUCUCACACAUGUUAGUUUAGUAUGGAUGUCGGAUGUACUAUUAUUAUUGCUCUCCUCUGAUUAUUUUGUAGAAUCACAACAUAUGGCAUAUUUGGGUUCAUUUUCAGGUGAUUUUUUCCACAGGAGUAGUAUUCCAUUGUGAAUGUUAUGGAGUUGACAUUGUUGUUCUUCCCCCACUGUAGUGUUCUACUGUUGCCACAACAAUCAGAUACCUACAUAAAUGAAAGGAAAUAUAAAGCGACUAUUACGAACAUGCUUGCAUUUCUCUGAAAUUCGAGGUAUAUGGUGCCUUUAUAGCACUACUAUGCUUGCUAAUAAAUAUUUGGUUCAAACAUAACACCUUGGAUAAAUUUACAGCGGAACAUCCAUAAUUUCAGAUAUAUGAUAGUGUAGUCCAUGAUCAAAUAAUGUACUUCCUGAUUUUAAAGGUCUGUUUUUGUUCCCUAAAUUUGGUUUUAUACAUUGCAAUUUACAUAUGCUUUAAGGUGCCAGUGUUUCUUCAGCUGAAUUCUCGGCCUGGCUGCUCCUUGAGUUUGCAUUCAUAUCCUAUUGCAGUGGAGAAUGCAGUUCUCAUGCACAUGCUUCCCUGGGAUGUACAAGUGCGAGGACAAUCAAGGGCGCUCAACAGUUCCUGGUUUAGAGGUGGAAGUUAUCAUUCAAACAUUCAAAAUGGACAUAUA